ensembl:snoRNA SNORA74 Small nucleolar RNA SNORA74
UCCAGCAGUUGUCAGCCCUCCAGGCUGUUGCGAUGCAUGUGAUGAUGUUGCACUGUUGAAGAGCCAGCCUUGAGGCUUGGCUCCAAGCACUGUUUUGGUGUUGCAGAAGAAUACCUUUGGGCAAUGUUUUACACCUCUGAGAGUGGAAUGACUCCUCCUGUGGAAUUGGUCCCAGUCUGGGUACAAACAAU